rnacentral:rRNA from 1 species
GAUGAACGCUGGCGGCGUGCCUAAUACAUGCAAGUCGAGCGAAAAGACCAUGUGCUUGCUACUCUGACGUUAGCGGCGGGCGGAAGAGUAACACGUGGAUCACAUACCUAUAAGACUGGGAUAGCUUCGGGAAACCGAAGCUAAUAACGUAUACUAUCUUGAUCCGCAUGGUUCAAUAGUUAAAGCCGGUUUUGCUGUCACUUCUAGCUGGCUCCGCGCCGGAUUAGCAAGUUGGUAAGGUAACGGCUUGCUAAGGCAACGGUGCGUAGCCGACCUGGGAGGGGGUACGGCCCCAGUGGGGCUGAGACGCGGUACUGGGUCCGACGGGAGGCAGCAGUAGGGAAGCGUCCGCGAUGGGGGAAAGCCUGACGGAGCAGCGCCGCGUGAGUGAUGAAGGGCCGCGGGUGGGAAGACUGUGUUACGAUUGAAGAACAAAUGUGGAAGUAACUAUGCACGUCGUGACGGUACCUAAUGAGAAAGCCACGGCUAACUACGUG